rnacentral:rRNA from 1 species
CUGCGGGAAUUGUAAUUUGAAGGUUUCGUGGUCUGAGUCGGCCGCGCCCAAGUCCAUUGGAACAUGGCGCCUGGGAGGGUGAGAGCCCCGUAUGGCGCACGCCGACUCUUUGUACACCGCGGCUCCGACGAGUCGAGUUGUUUGGGAAUGCAGCUCUAAGUGGGUGGUAAAUUCCAUCUAAAGCUAAAUAUUGGCGAGAGACCGAUAGCGAACAAGUACAGUGAUGGAAAGAUGAAAAGCACUUUGAAAAGAGAGUGAAACAGCACGUGAAAUUGUUGAAAGGGAAGGGCUUGCAAGCAGACACGGUUUUACCGGGCCAGCGUCGAAAAGGGGGGAGGAACAAGAACUCGAGAAUGUGGCGCGCACCUUCGGGCGCGCGUGUUAUAGCUCGUGUUGACGCCUCCAUCCCUUUUCGAGGCCUGCGAUUCUAGGACGCUGGCGUAAUGGUUGCAAGCCGCCCGUCUUG